UGGGGAAUCUUGGUCAAUGGGCGAAAGCCUGAACCAGCGACGCCGCGUGAGUGAUGAAGGCCUUCGGGUUGUAAAGCUCUGUGGGGCGAGACGAAAACCUGGGUUCUAACAGGACUCAGCUUGACGGUAUCGCCUUAGCAAGCACCGGCUAACUCUGUGCCAGCAGCCGCGGUAAGACAGAGGGUGCAAACGUUGCUCGGAAUCACUGGGCGUAAAGGGCGUGUAGGCGGGAGAGAAAGUCGGGCGUGAAAUCCCUGGGCUCAACCCAGGAACUGCACUCGAAACUUCCCUUCUUGAGUGCCGGAGAGGAAAGCGGAAUACCUGGUGUAGAGGUGAAAUUCGUAGAUAUCAGGUGGAACACCAGUGGCGAAGGCGGCUUUCUGGACGGUAACUGACGCUGAGACGCGAAAGCGUGGGGAGCAAACAG
rnacentral:rRNA from 1 species